CAGCUGCGUGUAUCGGUGAUCGCAUGGAGGCAUAACAAGAACCAAGGUGCAGAAGCAGAAGAGAAGGAGAAAAUAUUCAAUCUGUUGAGGCGAGGGAAAAUAUCCAUGUGGGCUUUGGUCAAGAAGCUCAAGGGAUUGAUGGACUGCUUGGAAACUGUUCAGAAGGCAGAGAGAAACAGCAACUCUUGAUUAAAGUGGCAAUAAAAUAUGUACAUUUUUCACUAGUAAUUUUAGAAAGUAGACUAGUUUAAGAAAAUAAAAAUCGCGCACGACUGCA